UACGUAGGGGGCAAGCGUUGUCCGGAUUUAUUGGGCGUAAAGCGCUCGCAGGUGGUUCGUCGCGUCGUGCGUGAAAGACCCCGGCUCAACUGGGGGAGGUCGUGUGAUACGGGCGAACUGGAGGCCAGUAGGGGGAUGCGGAAUUCCGGGUGUAGUGGUGGAAUGCGUAGAUAUCGGGAGGAACACCAGUGGCGAAGGCGGUUGCCUGGAGCUUUGCUGACGCUGAUGCGCGAAAGCGUGGGGAGCGAUCCGG
rnacentral:rRNA from 1 species